rnacentral:lncRNA from 1 species
GCGCCCGCCGGGCCGCGGGAUGCGCCGGGGCUGCGGCUGGCUCGACCCCUCCCCUCCCCUCCCUCUGGGCUGCCCGAUAUCUCACUCGAGACGGGAGACUGCGGAAGCUGGGCCGUUUAAGUCUGGAGAAGACAAGACUGAGAGAGAAUCUCAAUAAUGCAUAAAAAUAUCAGAAAGUGCUGAGACUUUCGGUGGUGCCCAUAACAGGGUAUGGAGCAAUGGCCGUAAACUGUAACACAAGAAAUUCCACCUCAACCUUUUGCACUGAGCUGGUAGAGCACUGAAACGGGCUGCCUAGGGAGGUCAUGGAGUCUCCCUUUGGAGACAUUCAAACCCCACCUGGAUGAGUUCUGUGUCACCCGCCCCAGGUGACCCUGCUUUGGCAGAGGGUUGGACUGGGUGAUCUCCAGAAGUCCCUUCCCAGCUUGACAAUUCUGAUUCUGUAAAAGCCUUUUGGUCCAGCUGGAAGGUGGUCUGGAGCCUGCUGCUGACCUUGUCCUCGUCUCAGAAAUCAUCCUUCAGGCCUCAUACAGGAGAGGGAAGAAAUGAGCCAGAGAAAGGAAGAGCAGAAACCUCUGGAGAAGAAUGAUAGAGUGAAACCUCUCCUCUUGGGAUCAGCAAUCAAAUCUGGCCCAGGUCAGCAGAGACCAACAGCUGUAAUAGCUCACUGUAGGUAGUUCUCUUAGUGCCUCACAGAUGACUGUCCAAACCAAAAGAGGCCAAAUGCUUUUCCACUGUUAUUACUGGUGCCACCAGGAUGCUGCUGGAACCUGGGUAAAAGCUACUGUGCAGUAAAAAUGAUAGGAGAGGAGCAUCACACAUGCAGCCCCCUUUCUGGACUGGACCAGCAGCUUCCAGAGCUUUUGGGAGAGAGCUCUGCACUGUACUCACUUUAAGAAAAUAACAAAGCUGAGUUAGUUGAACCAAAGCUGAAGUAUAUCCAGGACUCAAGUCUAGCCCCAAAAUGUCUAAAUCCACACUGUCCUUUCGUGUGUUUGAGUAUCUCUACUACUCUAUAGCUGGACAUACCCCAUGUGAAUGGCCUGUGUUUCCUGGGGUACUUUCACAGCUUUACAUGCACUGCACCUCCUCUCUGAGUCUGUGACUGAGGACUCUUUGGUUUUCAGGAACCCACUGUCCUGGCAAGAAGUCCCUCUAAAGGGCCAAGCCAGUGAUUUCUAGCCUACUUUCACCAGCAAAGACUGCAAAAUGUGAGGAGACAGUGCGUCACCAGUCUGUGAGCCUUCCCUGGGUGCUGGUUAGAUGGCCUGCCAGAAGCAUCACAGGUGAGACUUACUGACACAAGCCCUUUCACAGCUUGGCACUGUUUACUGUUUGUGGAGUGUGAUGGCACAAUUCCUCCUGAAAACUGCACAGACACAAGCCUCCUCUCUGCUGCAAAAUGCAUUAUCCUCAGAGCCAAAUGAAUCAGCACAUACCCAGCACAGCAGCCAGGACUGACCAGCACUGCCUUCCCCUUCCAAAAUGUCAAACGAAUUUCUGCUUCAGCAUAUGACACCAGCAACCACACAAGUCUCCCAGCCUCAGGGUUGUUGCUGUCCUCUUUAUGUUAUUCUGCCCUUCCUAUUCAUAUCAUUGUUCAACGAUCAACUCCCAAGUGGCUCAAACUCCACCCAGAGGAAAAAAAAAAAAAAGCCAUUAUCUAAACUAUGCCUAUUCUGCAAGUGCUCCAAAGAGCACUUCAUCACCCCUUUUUUCACAAUUCAUGAUUUUUACAUGCCUACAUGGAGAAAACCAGCAACCUGGACCCACAGAUCUGGAGAGGAUUUCACAGGAGUGGCUCUCCUUCUGUUGUGAAAAAAAGUGAGUAAGUCUUUACUUUUGUGUGAUGUGGUUGAUGGUUUCUCCAGCUGCUGAAAACAUGGGCCAGAGAUUGAGAAGUGACCCUGGGAAGUGAGGACAGGGAAAGAAUUCACUCAGACCUGGAAUGAAUGACCUGGUCUUUUGCAGAACUCUGUGCCUACGUUUUACAUAGUCCUAAGUAAAAUUCCCACCUGAAAACAGCUUUUGCACUUUGGUUAGACAAAGGAAUCUGGUGACACUGCACUGGUUCAAGAUUACAUAAAGGCCUGGAGAGCAGGAAGCAGGCACCAAUCCACCUCUGGAACAGGCAUAUUCUAGGAACAGUCCUGUGUGUCUCUGCCAGUGUGCCAUGCACCUUCUCUUCAGCAGUGGGGUCACAGGCAAGUUACAGUGGCAUUUGAUGGGUGUGUUUGGACAGCCCAAACUUGGUCAUACACUGUUAAUAGCAACUUGCUGCUGUGGAAAUGUGAAAUGCAAAGAUUUGUUUGGAAUAAAGGAGGUCAGGUCGAGUAGAUGAGGAAAGAGUGCAACAUGCAGGGGUGGGGUUUGCUUGGCUGGGCACCUGUGUGGCUCUUAGGAAUUAUCCUGGUCCCUAAAGCAGGAGUCUGCUCCAUACAGCCAGAGGAAGGAUCACCAUUUGGCUGAAGAGAUACAAAAUCAAGCUCUGUGGGCAGGUAGGAUCAGUCCUUGGUCUGUUAGGAUUUUUAGAGUCAGCAGAUUCCCUGUUUAUCCUGAACUGCUUUGUACAUACCAGGACUCUUGCUGCAGUAGUUGAUAAAAAUACAAAACACAGAGGAAGGAGAGCUCAACCAAGAGAGAAUAAUCAAACUAAACUCCUUAUCUUCUCACUUAUGCCCUUAUCCUGGCAAAAUUUGAGAAAAAUACAAUGUUUUUGAAAUGCCAGAAAACCAUGAACACUGCUAUGCUUGCACUGACCAAGACACACACGAUGUAAAACACCCAGGUGAUGCUGUGAUUGAUGUGAUAGCCUGCCCAGCUUUGCAAUUUCUAGCUACUGUCAUAAAUAUUUUGUCUACAGCCAUAUUUCAGGCUUUGCCAGUGAGUGACAAAAGAGGCCAGCAGUAGUGGAACUGCAAAUAGAAACUACACUGUGAUGCUGCAGCACUCUUUUUUGAUCACUCAGAUGUGCAGCAAACCCUCAGCAUUCCUUUAAACCUUCUCUUAUCUGAAAUACCUUAGGUAAGAGGUAUCCCAGCUGCAAAGAUGUGAUUGCAAAAGAGGAAAAACGUGGUCUUGUAAAGAUGUGGGGGACAGCUAAGAUGACAGUAGAGAGCAGCUGAGAUCACCCCAGCCUGGAGUCACUCUCCAUCUUGGAUUGCAGUUGUCACAUCUGGAGUAAUAAAUGCAUUUGCUCUUUGCCAUGUGUCCAGCAGCACGGGGAAUCUUCCAGGGGCAAGGAAGAGAAGCUGUCAAGGAGAAAAGUCUUAAAUCUUCCAAGUAAUGUGUAAAACAAACUUGGUCAUAUACAAAAGAGAGGGGUAAGAAUCAAGGGGACUAAAAGAUAAUGGAGAAAGAGAUAAAAAUACCAAUAAAAAGAAAGAGAAGAAGACCUUUAGUCAAUAAAGGAGAGGAUCAGAAUAAGGAGGUGACAAGGGUGCAGCCUUAGCAAACAGAGCCAAAGUCAAAUAGAAAAAUAACCCUGCCAGAAAUAAAAGCAGAGGAGUUGAGCUUGAAUGAAAGGGGAUGAAAACCAGCUGUCAUGUAAAAUGGGAGUGAGAGAAUGAGCAGGGCAGCCCAGGGGAGCAGCAGUGCAGGCUGGAGGCAGGAUUUGCCUCAGAGAGUGCCUUUGCCAGAGGAGUGAGCCAACACACAGGAUGCUGUUGGACAACUUAUCUGGGAUGGCUGAGGCAGGGGGAUGGGACAGUAGGGGAGGAGGAUGGAGAUACUGAUCUGUGCAAAUGCCUGGAGCUUCUGUGUGAGUCAGGCAACAGAAAACUGUGCUGUGGGCUUACCAAAGUCAGGAUAACCCAUGGAAGUAAUGCCUACUGAGUGUGUUGCAUGGCACUUCUCUUUAAUUUGAUUUUUAAAUAGCAAAGAAAUAUGAGUCAGUUCAUGCACAGAAGAGAAUGACUUAAUCAAAUGGCAUAGUAACCACUGCACUCCCCAGCUAUGAUCAUGUGGUACUGCUGAUUUAAUGAUCAAUUGCAAAACCCCAGCUCAGGUGAAACUUCCCACGUUCUAUCCACAUGUUAAACCUGAAAAUCUUCCAAACUUUACAGAGGCUUGAAAACCUUUGAAAUUCAAGCGCCCAGAAAAAAAUGCAAGAGCAAAAUCAAAAUGGUUUUGUUGUAAAUGUUAUGAUACAUGAGACUAAAAGUCCCUCAUCUCUAAAACUGAUCAGAAAAGAGGGUGGGAAACAUUUAGAAUGAAUGAUUAGACUGAAGCCAGAGCACUGACCUUGGCACAUGCCUGAGAAGCAGCAGGGAAGCACAGGGAAGCCAGAUGAAGGAUUUUCCAGUCAGAGAGGGAAAACUUGGUGGAUUUUAAUAGCACAAGGGCAGAGAAAGAUCAUGGGUUUGUGUUCAUAUUGUAAUAGGCAUCCAACCAUACCAGGACAGUUCUGGUUCUGUGUAUUGUCUUCUGGUUUUGAACCAUCAGAGCAAAACUUGCUUCACAUUUGGAUCCUUUUCUCAAUAACCACAAGACACAAGCUGUAACAAACAAACAAACAAAUCAACAAACAUUUACAUUGAAAUCCAUUAAUUUCAGCAGCUAAUGCUCUCAGAUACCAAACAAUGCAAGAAAGAAGCAGAGACUCUAGUGACUCAUUUGUUAAGUUGGAAUAGAAGGAAGAACUAACCACAUGCAGGGGAUGAUGAUAAGGGUUAAGAGCCUGCCAAGAAAAGGUAGAAAACAAUGCCUUAACACUGCUUGCUAAGACUAAGGAGCCUGCAAGGGAAAAGUUUUUCAUGCUGUUAUCCAGUGCUGUUAAAGGAGAAUGUAGCCCCUUUGCUAUCCAUCACCCUGCCUUCCCCUGCCACUCUACUCUGUGUAUAUAUUCUGGUUGCACCCUGGCAGGCUGCCUCUCCUACAUAGGUGCUGAAUGAAAAGAAGGAAAACAUGGUCCUGUCUUUUUCAUUAGCUCAUCCUCUCUUAUCUUCUUCCUUCUUUCUUUUUUUGUUCAUCUGCAAAUAUAUUCCUUUGCUUUCACAGUAAAUUAAUAAAACAUUCUUGGGAGU